rnacentral:rRNA from 1 species
ACACCGAUAGACCAAGGUUUCCAGGGGAAGGUUCGUCCGCCCUGGGUAAGUCGGGACCUAAGACGAGGCAGAAAUGCGUAGCCGAUGGACAACUGGUUUAUAUUCCAGUACCCGCGAUACAACUGAAGGAGUGACGGAAAAGGUUACCUCGAGCCCUUAAUGGAUUGGGCAGGACAGAGAGGAGCAGGCAGCAGGCAAAUCCGCUGCAGGAUGCAGAGCUCUGGACCGAAUGAACGAGCGAUCAAGUAGUGAAGAGAGAGAUACCAGUUCCCGAGAAAAGCUUCUAAGGCUAAUUGUAUAGCGGCCCGUACCAAAACCGACACAGGUGGUCAAGGCGAGUAGCCUGAGGUGAGCGAGAGAACUGUUGCCAAGGAACUCGGCAAAUUGACCCCGUACGUUAGCAAUAAGGGGUGCUCGAAAGAGCCGCAGUGAAUAGGCCCUAGCAACUGUUUAACUAAAACAUAGCUCUCUGCCAAGCCGCAAGGCGAAGUAUAGGGGGUGACACCUGCCCGGUGCUGGAAGGUCAAGGGGAUUUGUCAGCGCAAGCGAAGCAUUGAACCGAAGCCCCAGUGAACGGCGGCCGUAACUAUAACGGUCCUAAGGUAGCGAAAUUCCUUGUCAGGUAAGUUCUGACCCGCACGAAAGGUGUAAUGAUUUGGGCACUGUCUCGGCAGCAGACUCGGUGAAAUCUUAGUACCUGUGAAGAUGCAGGUUACCCGCAACUAGACGGAAAGACCCCAUGGAGCUUUACUGCAGUCUGCUAUUGAGUUUCGGUUGGAUAUGCACAGGAUAGGUGGGAGACGAUGAGACGUGGAUUUCGGUCUACGAGGAGUCACUGUUGGGAUACCACUCUUAUUCAACUGGAAUUCUAACUGAUAUCCGUGAUCCGGAUACAGGACCGUGGCAGAUGGGCAGUUUGACUGGGGCGGUCGCCUCCCAAAGAGUAACGGAGGCGCACAAAGGUACUCUCAGAAUGGUUGGAAAUCAUUCAACGAGCGCAAACGCAGAAGAGUGCUUGACUGCGAGACAUACAGGUCGAGCAGGGACGAAAGUCGGUGUUAGUGAUCCGGCGGUGCAGAAUGGAAUGGCCGUCGCUUAACGGAUAAAAGCUACCCUGGGGAUAACAGGCUGAUCUCGCCCAAGAGUUCACAUCGACGGCGAGGUUUGGCACCUCGAUGUCGGCUCAUCGCAUCCUGGAGCUGAAGUCGGUUCCAAGGGUUGGGCUGUUCGCCCAUUAAAGCGGUACGCGAGCUGGGUUCAGAACGUCGUGAGACAGUUCGGUCCCUAUCUGUUGUGGGCGUUGGAAAUUUGAGGAGAGCUGCCCCUAGUACGAGAGGACCAGGGUGGACGUUCCUACGGUGCACCAGUUGUCACGCCAGUGGCACAGCUGGAUAGCUGAGAACGGACCGGAUAAACGCUGAAGGCAUCUAAGCGUGAAACCGACUCCAAGAUUAGAUUUCCCAUUGUUACAAGCAAAUAAGACCCCUUGAAGACGACGAGGUUGAUAGGUCAGGGAUGUAAGUACAGUGAUGUAUUGAGUUGACUGAUACUAAUAGGUCGAAGGUUUAUUCAC